rfam:Candidatus Daviesbacteria bacterium RIFCSPHIGHO2_01_FTLL_41_23 rifcsphigho2_01_scaffold_128, whole genome shotgun sequence.
GCCGAAGUGGUGGAACGGUAGACACGAUAGGUUUAGGACCUAUUGCUCGUAAGAGUGUGGAGGUUCGAUUCCUCUCUUCGGCA